GGAAGCUUAGCUCAGCUGGGAGAGCAUCUGCCUUACAAGCAGAGGGUCGGCGGUUCGAUCCCGUCAGCUUCCA
rnacentral:tRNA from 1 species